rnacentral:rRNA from 1 species
UACGUAGGGGGCAAGCGUUGUCCGGAAUCAUUGGGCGUAAAGCGCGUGUAGGCGGCUCGGUAAGUCCGCUCUGAAAGUCCGGGGCUCAACCCCGGGAGGCGGGUGGAUACUGUCGAGCUCGAGUCCGGAAGAGGCGAGUGGAAUUCCUGGUGUAGCGGUGAAAUGCGCAGAUAUCAGGAGGAACACCAAUGGCGAAGGCAGCUCGCUGGGACGUGACUGACGCUGAGACGCGAAAGCGUGGGGAGCAAACAGG